rfam:Triticum aestivum genome assembly, contig: Triticum_aestivum_CS42_TGACv1_scaffold_249510_3DL
UACGUACUCCCUCCGUCCGAAAAAAACUUGUCCCAAACUUGUCGCUCAAAUGGAUGUAUCUAGCACUAACUUGGUGUUAGAUACAUCCGUUUCAAGGACAAGCUUUUUCGAACGGAAGGAGUAUAUA